UCUUGGUCAUUUAGAGGAAGUAAAAGUCGUAACAAGGUUUCCGUAGGUGAACCUGCGGAAGGAUCAUUACCCAAAAGGAUACUUCGGUAUACCCCACCCGUGUCUACCUACUCUUGUUGCUUUGGCAGGCUGUGAUCUCUCACUGCGGGCUCCGUCUGCAUGUGCCUGCCAGAGGACCAAACUCUGAAUUUUUAGUGAUGUCUGAGUACUAUAUAAUAGUUAAAACUUUCAACAACGGAUCUCUUGGUUCUGGCAUCGAUGAAGAACGCAGCGAAAUGCGAUAAGUAAUGUGAAUUGCAGAAUUCAGUGAAUCAUCGAAUCUUUGAACGCACAUUGCGCCCUGUGGUAUUCCGCAGGGCAUGCCUGUUCGAGCGUCAUUAUAGCCACUCAAGCCUCGCUUGGUGUUGGGGUGCGCAGCUCUGCGGCCUCUAAAAUCAGUGGCGGUGCCUGUAGGCUCUGAGCGAAGUAAUUCUUCUCGCUAUAGAGUCCUCAUGGGUUUCCAGCCAAAACCCCCCAUAUUUUUUAUAGGUUGACCUCGGAUCAGGUAGGGAUACCCGCUGAACUUAAGCAUAUCAAUAAGCGGAGGA
rnacentral:rRNA from 1 species